GUAUAUAUAGCUCAGUGGUAGAGCACAUGCUUAGCAUGCACAAGGUCCUGGGUUCAAUCCCCAGUACCUCCA
rnacentral:tRNA from 1 species